rnacentral:rRNA from 1 species
CCUACGGGUGGCUGCAGUAGGGAAUAUUGCACAAUGGGGGGAACCCUGAUGCAGCAACGCCGCGUGGGUGAAGAAGUACUCCGGUAUGUAAAGCCCUGUCAUCAGGGAAGAUAAUGACGGUAUCUGACCAAGAAGCCCCGGCUAACUACGUGCCAGCAGCCGCGGUAAUACGUAGGGGGCAAGCGUUAUCCGGAUUUACUGGGUGUAAAGGGAGCGUAGACGGGAAGGCAAGUCUGAAGUGAAAUCCCAUGGCCCAACCACAGAACUGCCUUUGAAACUGUGAUGCUAGAGUGAAGGAGUGGUAGGCGGAAUUCUUGGUGUAGCGGUAAAAUGCGUAGAGAUCAAGAGGAACA